CCUACGGGGGGCAGCAGUGAGGAAUAUUGGUCAAUGGUCGGGAGACUGAACCAGCCAAGCCGCGUGAGGGAGGAAGGUACAGAGUAUCGUAAACCUCUUUUGUCAGGGAACAAAGGCGGGGACGUGUCCCCGGAUGAGUGUACCUGAAGAAAAAGCAUCGGCUAACUCCGUGCCAGCAGCCGCGGUAAUACGGAGGAUGCGAGCGUUAUCCGGAUUUAUUGGGUUUAAAGGGUGCGCAGGCGGUCUGUUAAGUCAGCGGUCAAAGCCCGGGGCUCAACCCCGGCCCGCCGUUGAAACUGGCAGUCUCGAGUUGGAGAGAAGUAUGCGGAAUGCGCGGUGUAGCGGUGAAAUGCAUAGAUAUCGCGCAGAACUCCGAUUGCGAAGGCAGCAUGCCGGCUCCACACUGACGCUGAGGCACGAAAGCGUGGGUAUCGAACAGGAU
rnacentral:rRNA from 1 species